UAUUAUUUGUGUGUAACUGUUUGGUGGUGUUUAUUGAGGAGGGAGGUUUGUAUAAGGGCAGAUUGGUGUUUGCACACCUAGUAGUGAAUUGUUCUUUAUUCGUCCUCUGUGUCCAUAAUUUUUUGGGUCUGGAAAACAGGAAGCAGAGGAAUAGCUGAACAACCACCACCCAUAGCAACAGAAAGCAGAUAAAUCCAAAAGUCAUUUAUUUUGCUUCUCCAAAAAUGUUGCCCUCCCCUCAAACUGAGGGGUUCCCCGCAGGCUGGGUUUUGCCAUCAUGUCUGGGAAUGGCUGGGCUGACUUCAGUGCUCUCCCCUCCACAGGCAGAGGGAUGCAGGGCAGCCCCAGAAACUGCAGGGCUUGAUAUCCAGCACAGCUCAUAGGGCUCAAGGUGUCCCAGAAAUGUACUCAGGGAUUAAAUUGCUCCCACACCCAUCCUAACCAGCAGCAGCGCUGUGUCCCAAGGGCACCAUUGGCCACAUCACUAUGCCAGCAGCACUUCACCCCCUUUGGGGCUCUGUAUUUAUUCCCUGACUGGGUAUUACCUGUAGUGAAACCCAUGAUUACCAAGGAAAAAAGAAAAAGGGUAUCAAGUGCAGCAUACAAAAACAAACAAACAAAAAAAAACCAACCCCACAAAACCCCAGAUGGCUUUGGUCACUUUGGCUGAGAGAUGCACUUUUUCUUCCAAUAAAAGCCCAAAUUGAAAUCCCAUCUGCUAUACAGGAGCCAUCUGCAUAAUUCAGAAGUGUGAAAAACAAUCAGCCUCUUCUUUCCCUUCCCCAGCCUCCCAUCUCAUCAUCUUGUUUCCCUGGGGUGCUGCAGCCCUCUGUUAUUUAAGCCUGGAGUGAUGGGGAAUGCUGUGAGCCACCCAUUCCAGCCCCAGGAGGCAGGCUCCUGGGGGAGGCUCAGCUUUUUGCAAUCAGGAUGAUUAAUUGUGGACUCACACAAAAACCCAAGAGAGGGAAAAAAAACAAAAAAAGGCUUUUUGCAGGUUCCUUAGUAGAAUGUGUAGUUAUAGGGGCAGUCUUCCUGGUUUGUUCUUGUUUGAUAUCAUCUGUUUAUUCCAUUGAUGCUUCAAGAAUAAGUGAUACAAAGCCCUCUACCAUUUGGGAAGUAGAUCUGUGCCUUCUCAAGACAAAGGUGUUGAAAUAGAGAUGAAAUGAAGCAGAUGUCCUCACUGUGCAUAUUCUGAAAUCAUAUUCUCCAAAUCAAACAUCUUCCAAACUGAAGAGGAGAAGGAUAAACUAUACCAGGAGUGCUUGGAAAUACCUCACUCUCUUUCCAUCCUUGCCAUCGCCUUCAUGCACAAGUAUUCCUAAAUCUUGUUUUUCAGUAAACUCUUAUGAUAGUGCCUUAAUGGAAAGAGUUUUCUGAAGUCUUGUUUUGAUGCUGAGACUUUUACUGUUUUU
rnacentral:lncRNA from 1 species